rnacentral:rRNA from 1 species
GAACCCUGGCGGCAGGCCUAACACAUGCAAGUCGAGCGCGCCUUUCGGGGUGAGCGGCGGACGGGUUAGUAACGCGUGGGAAUAUGCCCUUUGGUACGGAAUAGCCUCUGGAAACGGAGAGUAAUACCGUAUGAGCCCUUCGGGGGAAAGAUUUAUCGCCAAAGGAUUAGCCCGCGUUAGAUUAGGUAGUUGGUGGGGUAAUGGCCUACCAAGCCUACGAUCUAUAGCUGGUUUUAGAGGAUGAUCAGCAACACUGGGACUGAGACACGGCCCAGACUCCUACGGGAGGCAGCAGUGGGGAAUCUUGGACAAUGGGGGCAACCCUGAUCCAGCCAUGCCGCGUGAGUGAUGAAGGCCUUAGGGUCGUAAAGCUCUUUCGCCUGUGAAGAUAAUGACGGUAGCAGGUAAAGAAACCCCGGCUAACUCCGUGCCAGCAGCCGCGGUAAUACGGAGGGGGUUAGCGUUGUUCGGAAUUACUGGGCGUAAAGCGCACGUAGGCGGACCAGAAAGUUGGGGGUGAAAUCCCGGGGCUCAACCCCGGAACUGCCUCCAAAACUAUUGCC